rnacentral:sRNA from 1 species
UCGUCGUGUAGGUCAACGUUCCUCACGA